ACCCCUUGUUCUUCCAAAAGUAUUGGGAUUCAGUAGGUGAGUCUGUCUCCCAAUUUUGUCUAAAUUGUUUCAGCACAUCCACAAUGGACAGCACCGUGAACCAAACUCUGGUUUUUAUAAUACCAAAAGUCCCCCAAACAUCAAUGUUGAAUACCUUCAGGCAUAAAUUGGCCUUUGUAACACCAUUUACAAGACAAUUACAAAGAUCAUUG
rnacentral:lncRNA from 1 species